GUGCCAGCAGCCGCGGUAAUACGGAGGGUGCAAGCGUUAUCCGGAUUUACUGGGUUUAAAGGGUGCGUAGGUGGGCAGGUAAGUCAGUGGUGAAAUCUUCAAGCUUAACUUGGAAACUGCCAUUGAUACUAUUUGUCUUGAAUAUCCUGGAGGUAAGCGGAAUAUGUCAUGUAGCGGUGAAAUGCUUAGAUAUGACAUAGAACACCCAUUGCGAAGGCAGCUUACUACGGGAUUAUUGACACUGAGGCACGAAAGCGUGGGGAUCAAACAGGAUUAGAAACCCGCGUAGUCC
rnacentral:rRNA from 1 species